GGACACUUUACUUUCUCUCUCUCCGGUCUUCCCUGGCCCACGGAUUUCACAAUCCUUGGGAACUUUGAGACUUGAAUGGUUAAUCUCUCAGACGAAAUUAUCACCCCAACGACUGUUCACAGAUUAGUCGAUGCAAAUGUUAAAAACGUGUUGGCAAGCUGGAUGAGCAGGCAAACGCACAUAAGGGUCCCCAGAUGCAGCGAAUGAACAGGUUUUCCUCGUAAAAAUGAUGGAGGUGAAGGUGGGGAUGGGGGUGCUCUCCUCACUCCGGAAUCUGAAGCGGGAGAGAGCUGGAUAAACCGCCGAGAUGACCUAAGUGGUCUGAGGCGACCAGCAGCGCGUCCACAGUGGAGGACCCAGGCCUCGGCUCAGACAUGGCCUGCUCCGCUCUUUCCCUAGGCUCCUCUGCAACAUCAGGCAACCAAGGCCUGCGCUCUCCUUUUCCUGAGGAGACUCCCUGGAACCUUCAAGAACCCCCCGACAGCCACCAGGAUACCCGGUCUGAAUGGUUUCCUACCAAGAAAGACCCCGAAGACCUGCAGUUCUGUCCAGAAACGAGUUUUUAGGGUCACUUGAAUUUGAGCUGCUGCGAGGGCGGUGCUUUAGGGAGCAGAGUUCAAAGAGGAAUUCCUCAGGACCCUAGGCCAGGUCCGCGUUAAAGGGCGCCUUACAAACCUCCUCUCCCCACACUCCCCCGCAGCCCCUUCCCCAACGUUUAAGGCACCGGAUCUUGAGAAGCAAAUCUAGUGCCCAGCUUCAAAUCCCCGCCUUGGAAAAGUACAAAGAGAAAACUGAUUUUUCAAAUCCCAAAGCCCUUUCCUUUUAAGCAACUUGGAAAAACUCAGCUAUAAACGCUUUCUCCUCUUAUGCUAAAAUUGAAAACUUAUAGAUUUUAGAUGGAAUGAAGAGAAGAUAUAUUCCUUUUCCCUUUAAAUAGCCACAUUUCAAAUUGUGCCAGGCAGCAAUUUCUGCGAAAAAGGAGUGGCGGUUGGGAUUGUUUGGGAGAUGGAGUUUUAUUUGUUCCCAUUUAUUUUGUUUUAUUUUUGUUUUAUUUUUUUCUUUGAGUUUCUUUGUUAUUUUGAGAUUCAUCUAAGAGACUCAGAAUUCCACUCUGAAUAAAGCACUUUUUGUUGUUUCAAAAUUUCAAACUGACAUAAGUGUUGGAUCAUCAGUUUUCCCUUUGUCUGCCCUAGUUGUAAAUAAUGGCUUUGAGAUUAGCUAAUUAAGGGGCAUUAAUCACUGAUAGAAAGGGAAUAAAUCAAAGCCUUGUUCUAAAUUUCAAACUUGCCUGUAUAGAUGUGCAUAGCUACUCUAUCUGGAGCAGAUAGGUGCUGUUUGAAUUACUGUUCUUCAGAGUAAACCAAAUCCACUUCGCUUUUAAAAAAUGAAUAUUGUAUUUAUACAGCCUGG
rnacentral:lncRNA from 10 species